GAUGAACGCUAGCGGGAGGCCUAACACAUGCAAGCCGAGCGGUAUUUGUUCUUCGGUACAGAUAGAGCGGCGCACGGGGGCGGAACACGUGUGCAACCUGCCUUUAUCUGGGGGAUAGCCUUUCGUAAGGAAGAUUAAUACCCCAUCAUAUAUUUAUUGGCAUCACUUGAUAUUGAAAACUCAGGUGGAUAGAGAUGGGCACGCGCAAGAUUAGCUAGUUGGUGAGGUAACAGCAUACCAAGUCAAUGAUCUUUAGGGGGCCUGCGAGGGUGAUCCCCCACACUGGUACUACGGCACGGACCAGACCCCGACGGGAGGCAGGGGUAAGUAAUAUUAGACAAGAGGGUAGCGCGUGAUCCAGCCACCCCGCGUGAAAGAGGACGGGCAUAGGAGUUGUAAACUUCUUGUGAAUAGGGAUAAACCAACUCACGAGGGAGUAGCUGAAGGUACUAUACGAAAAAGCACCGGCUAACUCCGUG
rnacentral:rRNA from 1 species